rnacentral:sRNA from 1 species
CCCGGUCUCCAGGGGCCUCACCCGAGUGAUGCCCCGCUAUUGCGCAGCGAUUUGUUGUAAGAACCGCCGGGGACGAAACAAUAAAGACCGGAAGCUGAGUUUUUAUCCAUACAGCUAAAACGUAAAAGGAAGGUGUUGAGAAGGGGACAUACACCAGAAACAGACUACAGUAGCGAAGAAUAAGGAAGUUAGGUAUGAAAAUAAAGAGGAAAAGAUGAUUUCUCUGAGUCACAAAUGAAAAAGUGACAGUACACUUCAGAGAAAUAGACUAGAUGGAUGGAUGGAUGAUGCAGAUAAAUGAGGCUACUUAAAGAUAUAUAUAAUAUGGCACUGAAAUUGCUUACCAUAGUCAUUUCUUUCCUCUCUGGAUACUAGUAAUGUAACAAACUUAACAUAUUAAAGUGUUAUUAAUUUCCAUGAUA